rnacentral:rRNA from 1 species
GAUGAACGCUGGCGGCGUGCCUAAUACAUGCAAGUCGAGCGAACGGACGAGAAGCUUGCUUCUCUGAUGUUAGCGGCGGACGGGUGAGUAACACGUGGAUAACCUACCUAUAAGACUGGGAUAACUUCGGGAAACCGUAGCUAAUACCGGAUAAUAUUUUGAACCGCAUGGUUCAAAAGUGAAAGACGGUCUUGCUGUCACUUAUAGAUGGAUCCGCGCUGCAUUAGCUAGUUGGUAAGGUAACGGCUUACCAAGGCAACGAUGCAUAGCCGACCUGAGAGGGUGAUCGGCCACACUGGAACUGAGACACGGUCCAGACUCCUACGGGAGGCAGCAGUAGGGAAUCUUCCGCAAUGGGCGAAAGCCUGACGGAGCAACGCCGCGUGAGUGAUGAAGGUCUUCGGAUCGUAAAACUCUGUCAUUAGGGAAGAACAUAUGUGUAAGUAACUGUGCACAUCUUGACGGUACCUAAUCAGAAAGCCACGGCUAACUACGUG